AUCAUCAUCAUCAUCUGUAUUUCAGUGGAUUGGGCAUUAUACUAUUUCAUAUGUUACAGCUUUUCUGUGGACUGUCCAAGUGGUUGCACAUAGAGUAUCACGUAUAGAGGCUUUUUACUUGUGUGAUAUGGAGCUGCUGAGUUUGCCAGAUUAUUCCUAUUUGGGUCUUCUCUUCUAUGUUGCUUCGUGUUUAUGAUACUAUGCCUUGUGGUAAUCCUCUUUUAUUGGCCCCCAGAUGUUUUGUGUUUGACUAUGGAAAUGGAUUAAAAUCUGUUGGUAGAUUUCUCUCUUCCUACUCUUUCUGGAUAAUUAUAGAAGUAUGUCACUACUUUUUUAUUCUAAUAUUCCUCUCUUAACUCGAGGACAAGAAGCAUGAGAAGCUCCACUCUUCAGCGUCAUUAAGUGUUAAGAGUAUCAUCAUAGGAGUCACCCAUUAUCUAUCGAUUCAUCAUCUUAUAUUCACAGUAAAGAUAUGAUCACCUUGUUCCAGUUCCUUCUUUUUUUUUUUCACUUCCAAUAUUUCACCUUCCCCUUCUUGACUAUGCAGGUUAUUGCGGAACGUGAUUAUGCUCCAGGCGAUCAGGUCCUGAUAAGGUAUGGAAAGUUUUCUAAUGCUACACUCUUGUUGGACUUCGGCUUUACACUUCCUCACAACAUAUAUGAUCAGGUUAGCCUAAAGCUUGAAAUUAGAAAUGUCCACCAUGAUUUGUUUUUGGGAAAAGUGUGUACUUAUUUUCUCAGAUAAUAUGUAUGAUAGUUUCUGUAUACCAUUUUUGUAUUCUUUCUGUUUUUGGCUGAACGUGUAUACUUUUCUGCAGGAAAUGCCAUUUUACAUCCAUGUUUUAAUAUUUUAUUCAUAUUGCUUGAAGAAGAAAUUUUCGUGCUAAAGUAGGAAAUUUUGUUGCAAAGCCAGAGUUGAAAACUGGAGUUUGACUACUCAGCCAGUUUACUGAAUAUGGGAUUCUAUGGUGCAUGUAUCCGGGACAUUUGAAAAUAGGUGAAGCAAGUACAAGGUUUUGAACAGUAUACUAUUUAACUGGCAUUGGUUGCACGGAUAUAGAGUUCAGAUUGAGCUUAAUGUGCCACAUCAUGACCGACUUUGUGCGAUGAAAUUGGAACUUUUGAAUAGAUAUCGAGCCCCAAGCAUAAAAGAUGUUAAUGUGUUCAGCUCUUCUGGCAACUCCUUCACAAUCAAGUUGGUGCCUUUGUCUUGCAACAGUGAUGUCAUUUAACAUUCGUUGCAUUAUUCUUUCUGUGGAUUGAGAACAAAAGUUAACAAAGACAAGAAAACUUGGAAAGCACUAAAAGCACUUUCCUUAUUGUUCACCAAUUGAUUUUUGAGGAUCUGAGGAGAACUUGAAACAAUUUUGAUGCUGACUGAAAGGAUAUGGUUACCAUAAAUAGUGCUCACGAGAAAAAGAGCAAGAUUUGAAAUUGUCUAUUUCUCACUUCGCUGCCCUUGUGGUUCAGUCUCCACAGUUGGAUAGGGUGAUGUCCUAUAUGAAUGGAGAUUUAUGGUUGGUCUUAUCUUAUGCAGGUGUAUCCAAGUGAAACAUUGUUAAAUAUCAAUAAGAUUAGGCCCUUGUUUGGGAGAGAUUUUUUCAAAUUUUGUUUUUAACCAAAUUCAUUUCCAACCACAAUUU